GACCCCUCACGUGGCUGGCCGUCACUCAUGCGGAAUUACCCAGCACUUGGAACAAAAGAGCGAGGAUAUCGGACGUGUAAGAUCCAUCUGUGUCACACAUUUGAUUGUGCAAGCGGCAUGUGGUGUUCCUCCGUUUCGCUCAAGGCUCUGCCGCCGAACAGCGGCGAGCAAGAACCACGAAAAACUGCCUGGUGCGUGAAUAGUCUUGUCUAAAGUUUAGAGCUCAGUUCGAUACGUUUGGAUCAACACCCCAGAACCUAUGAACUCUCAAUCCAGUGUGUACCUGAGGGCCCCCCAUCGUCAGUUUGACAUCCAGGCUAGUCCUCUGUGGCGGCGAGGCACUGCAGAAACGUGGACUUUCCUGGACUCCCCUCCCUGGAUUUUGAGCAAACUUCAACGGCAUGUCAUUUUGAGUCCACAUGAUUUUUUUACUAAGGCACCUCAGCCCGUUGGUGUCCCCGUUUUCCCUUCCUGAACGCAAAUCAGCCGCUUCGGGAAUCUUCGAUACUCGAUGUGCGCACCAUGGAUUUUGAAAUUGAGAGUGGCAUUCAGCUAGGGACAGGACGACAUGUUCGCACUUUGAGUAGCGACAAAUGCCGUUGGAAACGAAUCACUACGAACCAGUGAACGGUAGCACACCGUAGGUAUGCAGAAAUCUGUGAUCUAGACGGAGACAGCUUGAAGCUGCUUGGUGCAUGCGGGGGACACAAGAUCCUGCGCAGAACAUGGCGUUAACGGCCUGUCUCCCCUGUGUCAG
rnacentral:lncRNA from 1 species